UACGGAGGGGGCUAGCGUUGUUCGGAAUUACUGGGCGUAAAGCGCACGUAGGCGGCUUUGCAAGUUAGAGGUGAAAGCCCGGGGCUCAACUUGGGAAUUGCAGUGGAUACUGGCAGGCUGGAGUACGGUAGAGGAAGGUGGAAUUCCCGGUGUAGCAGUGAAAUGCGUAGAUAUCGGGAGGAACACCAGUGGCGAAGGCGGCCUCUGGACCAGUACUGACGCUCAUGCACGAAAGCGUGGGGAGCAAACAGG
rnacentral:rRNA from 1 species